CCCUGCGAGCUUUACGUAGUGUCUCUGUGGUCUGGCGGCCGGGGCUGGGGUCUAGCGCACGGCGGAGGGAUGCAGGCUUCGGCACCGAGGCCCGGUGAUUAUAACACCCCACUUCCGUGUAGGGGAGACACUAGAACAAGGGGAGGCACGAAAUUCAGAUCAGGACAUGGUUCUAAGCCCGACUGUGUUGUGUGACUCGGCACUAGAUCCUUGGCGCUCCAAGCCUUUGCUGCCUCUUCUGUAAAGUCUUGGGGGAAGGUGGACCUCAAAUGUCUGUUGAGCCCGGGAAUUCUGAGACUUUUGAAAGAAGAGGCUGGAGUAGGCAGAGUGGGAGGGGGAGGUACCAGUUUCUACCAUGUUUCUCAGGCGUCGGCCUCAACCUCAACCUCACCGCUCCAGCAAGCGCAAGGACCUAGUGGAGGACCAGCCUUUCCCCGGGCUGCUGCGGGCAGAGAACCUCGGUCUGGAAGAGCUGGCUCAAGUCCUGAGAGCAGCUGUGGUGGAUCAGAAAGGACCUCUGGUGACACUGAACAAGCCACAGGGUCUGCCUGUGACAGGGAGACCAGGAGAGCUGACAUUGCUGUCUGUGCUGCCAUGGC
rnacentral:lncRNA from 1 species